rnacentral:rRNA from 1 species
ACCGAGUUUACAACUCCCAAACCCCUGUGAACAUACCUAUUGUUGCCUCGGCGGAUCAGCCCGGCCCCGGUAAAACGGGACGGCCCGCCAGAGGACCCUAAACUCUGUUUUUAGUGUAACUUCUGAGUAAAACAAACAAAUAAAUCAAAACUUUCAACAACGGAUCUCUUGGUUCUGGCAUCGAUGAAGAACGCAGCAAAAUGCGAUAAGUAAUGUGAAUUGCAGAAUUCAGUGAAUCAUCGAAUCUUUGAACGCACAUUGCGCCCGCCAGUAUUCUGGCGGGCAUGCCUGUUCGAGCGUCAUUUCAACCCUCAAGCACAGCUUGGUGUUGGGAUUUGCGGAGUAAUUCGCAGUCCCCAAAUCUAUUGGCGGUCACGUCGAGCUUCCAUAGCGUAGUAAUUACACCUCGUUACUGGUAAUCGCGCGGCCACGCCGUUAAACCCCAACUUCUGAAUGUUGACCUCGGAUCAGGUAGGAAUACCCGC